UCCCAAGAACAAAACCAGCCACCCACCUCUCUCUCUCCGCAAGAACAGAGCUUGGCCGCCGCUGCCUCGAUCUGCCCCAUCCGGGCAUCUCCGGCGGCACCGUGGACACCUACAGAUUCUCCUCGUCUCCCUCUACCAUUUCCUCCUAUUUAUUUUAUCCGCCGCCGCCAAAAACGUCGCCACCACUCAAUCCUAGCGCCACCUGAUUCAGGUCCGGUGGGCUUGCCAUCGGCUGGAGUGGCAACAACGUCUCCAUGCCUACAUCCUCCCCCAGCGCAGCCACACACACGAGGCAUGCAGCCACGGGCGUCGGGCGUGUGCGGCUUCACCGGCGCUGCUCGGUCGCAUGGCUCUGCUGCUAACGGUGUGGACUAGCCACAUCCUACUACUACUACUGCAAGGUAAAUAGAUCAAGGUGAAUAGAUGUUCAUGGACUGAUUCAAACCGAGAUGAAGAUAGAUAAGAAGUCAAGCAAAAAGGGUAACACAACAAGGUACUUGAUUAGUACCUGGUGGAGCAUGCAACCCAAAGGGCUUCACCGCAGUGAAGGACAGAAGUGUGGCAGAAGGUGAAAAGGCAAGUGGUGGGGGUACUCCAGUGUAUGUGUGUGUGAGGUGGAAUGAACCAUAGUGAAAGGAAAGGCUCCUAUUUGUAGAUGGGUUAGUAGCCAUGUCGGUUUGGAGAUGCAUUACAUCUGGCAUGCAUGCGUGUUUAGGCUUGCAUGCAUGCCUCCACUUGUGUCUUUUGUAGGCUGUACUAGGGACAAGUGUAAUUUGCUUGGCUGGCCAUUAGUUGGCACUUACUUUAUGUGAAAAAAAUGAGACCAA